rnacentral:rRNA from 1 species
GACGAACGCUGGCGGCGUGCCUAAUACAUGCAAGUAGAACGCACAGUUUAUACCGUAGCUUGCUACACCAUAGACUGUGAGUUGCGAACGGGUGAGUAACGCGUAGGUAACCUGCCUGGUAGCGGGGGAUAACUAUUGGAAACGAUAGCUAAUACCGCAUAAUAUUGAUUAUUGCAUGAUAAUUGAUUGAAAGAUGCUAUUGCAUCACUACCAGAUGGACCUGCGUUGUAUUAGCUAGUAGGUGAGGUAACGGCUCACCUAGGCGACGAUACAUAGCCGACCUGAGAGGGUGAUCGGCCACACUGGGACUGAGGCACGGCCCAGACUCCUACGGGAGGCAGCAGUAGGGAAUCUUCGGCAAUGGACGAAAGUCUGACCGAGCAACGCCGCGUGAGUGAAGAAGGUUUUCGGAUCGUAAAGCUCUGUUGUAAGAGAAGAACGGGUGUGAGAGUGGAAAGUUCACACUGUGACGGUAUCUUACCAGAAAGGGACGGCUAACUACGUG